GACGAACGCUGGCGGCGCGCCUAACACAUGCAAGUCGAACGGAGAAAGAGACAGCUUGCUGGAUCUUUCUUAGUGGCGGACGGGUGAGUAACACGUGAGCAACCUGCCCCUCAGAGUGGAAUAACGUUUGGAAACGAACGCUAAUACCGCAUAACACCAUUGGAUGGCAUCAUUUGAUGGUCAAAGAUUUAUCGCUGAGGGAUGGGCUCGCGUCCGAUUAGGUAGUUGGUGAGAUAACAGCCCACCAAGCCGACGAUCGGUAGCCGGACUGAGAGGUUGAACGGCCACAUUGGAACUGAGAAACGGUCCAGACUCCUACGGGAGGCAGCAGUGGGGAAUAUUGGGCAAUGGGCGAAAGCCUGACCCAGCGACGCCGCGUGCGGGAAGACGGUCUUCGGAUUGUAACCGCUUUAUUAGGGACGAUAAUGACGGUACCGUAAUGAAUAAGCCACGGCUAACUACGUG
rnacentral:rRNA from 1 species